AACAGGAUUAGAUACCCUGGUAGUCCACGCCGUAAACGAUGUCGACUUGGAGGUUGUUCCCUUGAGGAGUGGCUCCCGGAGCUAACGCGUUAAGUCGACCGCCUGGGGAGUACGGCCGCAAGGUUAAAACUCAAAUGAAUUGACGGGGGCCCGCACAAGCGGUGGAGCAUGUGGUUUAAUUCGAUGCAACGCGAAGAACCUUACCUACUCUUGACAUCCACGGAAUUUGGCAGAGAUGCCUUAGUGCCUUCGGGAACCGUGAGACAGGUGCUGCAUGGCUGUCGUCAGCUCGUGUUGUGAAAUGUUGGGUUAAGUCCCGCAACGAGCGCAACCCUUAUCCUUUGUUGCCAGCGAUUCGGUCGGGAACUCAAAGGAGACUGCCGGUGAUAAACCGGAGGAAGGUGGGGAUGACGUCAAGUCAUCAUGGCCCUUACGAGUAGGGCUACACACGUGCUACAAUGGCGCAUACAAAGAGAAGCGACCUCGCGAGAGCAAGCGGACCUCACAAAGUGCGUCGUAGUCCGGAUCGGAGUCUGCAACUCGACUCCGUGAAGUCGGAAUCGCUAGUAAUCGUGGAUCAGAAUGCCACGGUGAAUACGUUCCCGGGCCUCGUACACACCGCCCGUCACACCAUGGGAGUGGGUUGCAAAAGAAGUAGGUAGCUUAACCUUCGGGAGGGCGCUUACCACUUUGUGAUUCAUGACUGGGGUGAAGUCGUAACAAGGUAACC
rnacentral:rRNA from 1 species